rnacentral:rRNA from 1 species
AGUGAACGCUGGCGGCGUGCUUAACACAUGCAAGUCGAACGAGAACGGGAUAUAGCUUGCUAUAUUUGUCAGCUAAGUGGCGCACGGGUGAGUAAUGUAUAGAUAACCUGCCCUCUAGAAAGGAAUAACAGUUGGAAACGACUGCUAAUGCCCUAUAUGCCUUUAAUACAUAAGUAUGCAAGGGAAACGCUUUAGUGCUAGAGGAUGGGUCUGUAUGGUAUCAGCUUGUUGGUGAGGUAAUGGCUCACCAAGGCUAUGACGCCUAACUUGUUUGAGAGGAUGAUCAGUCACACUGGAACUGAGACACGGUCCAGACUCCUACGGGAGGCAGCAGUGGGGAAUAUUGCACAAUGGACGAAAGUUUGAUGCAGCAACGCCGCGUGGAGGAUGACACAUUUCGGUGCGUAAACUCCUUUUAUAUAGGAAGAUAAUGACGGUACUAUAUGAAUAAGCACCGGCUAACUCCGUGCCAGCCGCCGCCGUAAUAC